GGAAAUUGAAACUAAAUCGGUUUACUUGCACUUUUUGGUUAUAUCUCUGAAUUAGAUUUUUUGACCGGGUUUAGUUCGAUUUAAACAUGUUUAACCGAGAUUUUAGCAAUUCUAGUUUUUUCGUACAAACCAAACAGUAGGAGGGAGAUAAAUUCGUGUUUCUUGUGUUUUGGUUACGUUACAUGUUAACAAAUUGGAUUUGAUAAAAUCUUUUGCAUGUCUCGAUCCUCUUGUUCGUUAUCGCUAUGCCUUCAUCUUGUCGUUGUUCCGAGAAGAUAUGAACGUUAUCAUCGGAUCUAGUUGUUCGUUUUUUGGUUGAUAUGCUCCUUCACGAGAGACGCCCACCACAUGUUCGACGAAAGUCCUGAACCAGCUCUCUUGGCUCACAGCUAUGUCAUAUGUUCCACAUGUUACGCAGGCUGAUUGGAGAACCUUACAGCUACCGUGAUUCAGCGGCAAAAAGGGGUCUCUCUUGAAUUAUUUUGGCAGCAUUCAGCUAGUGACGUUCUAUGUUUAAUCCGCUAUCUAGAAACUGUUUUCUUGCUGCACUUAUCAGCCCGUGGACGUGAAAGACAAGUUGAAUCUGGCUGCCUACAAAAGAUGACAGCCCUCCCCCUAUAUGGAGUUUACUGAGCGGACGUGACAGCGCUAUGCUCUUAGAUUCCAUUGUAUUAAGCACUUAAAAUGAAACUUUAAGGUGCCUUUGGUUUGUAAUUUCUCUAGCUGAAAUGAAAGGGCAAUAAUGGUUCUUACGUGGAUCACCAUAUGCAACAGAACUAGGACUAAAUAAAGAUCUGAUUUUCUAAGCAUAUUUCUGGUUGUGUUUGGAUCAUCAUCUUCUUCAAAAAAGUCAAAGGGGCAUUCCGAGAAUCGAACUCGGGACCUCUCGCACCCAAAGCGAG